GUGGGGAAUUUUGGACAAUGGGCGCAAGCCUGAUCCAGCAAUGCCGCGUGCAGGAAGAAGGCCUUCGGGUUGUAAACUGCUUUUGUACGGAACGAAACGGUCCGGGUUAAUACCCUGGGCUAAUGACGGUACCGUAAGAAUAAGCACCGGCUAACUACGUGCCAGCAGCCGCGGUAAUACGUAGGGUGCAAGCGUUAAUCGGAAUUACUGGGCGUAAAGCGUGCGCAGGCGGUUGUGUAAGACAGGCGUGAAAUCCCCGGGCUCAACCUGGGAAUUGCGCUUGUGACUGUAAGGCUGGAGUGCGGCAGAGGGGGAUGGAAUUCCGCGUGUAGCAGUGAAAUGCGUAGAUAUGCGGAGGAACACCGAUGGCGAAGGCAAUCCCCUGGGCCUGCACUGACGCUCAUGCACGAAAGCGUGGGGAGCAAACAGGAUUAGAAACCCGAGUAGUCC
rnacentral:rRNA from 1 species